GUAAAAUAGAAAACGGAAAGAGAAGAUGGCGCGUCUGGAUGACUUUUUCCAGAACACUUUUUGGGAAGAGGGUCACGAUUACGCUCACCAAAGCAGAGGAGCGCAGUGCAGGAAAGUGAGAAAAGACUGCAGAACCAAAAUCUUCUAAAACAAUGGAGGGGACUAGAGAAAGUAGAGGACAAAUGGGC
rnacentral:lncRNA from 1 species